rnacentral:tRNA from 1 species
UGAAGUAAAGUUUAAUUAGUUAAACAUUUCAUUUACACUGAAGGGAAAUCUGUGCAAGUCGGUAUACUUUAA